ACUCCUACGGGAGGCAGCAGUGGGGAAUAUUGCACAAUGGGGGAAACCCUGAUGCAGCCAUGCCGCGUGUGUGAAGAAGGCCUUCGGGUUGUAAAGCACUUUCAGUAGGGAGGAAGGUAGUGUAGUUAACACCUGCAUUAUUUGUACGUUACCUACAGAAGAAGCACCGGCUAACUCCGUGCCAGCAGCCGCGGUAAUACGGAGGGUGCGAGCGUUAAUCGGAAUUACUGGGCGUAAAGCGCAUGCAGGCGGCCUGUUAAGUCAGAUGUGAAAGCCCGGGGUCUUAACCUCGGAAUUGCAUUUGAAACUGGCAGGCUAGAGUCUUGUAGAGGGGUUAGAAUUUCAGGUGUAGCGGUGAAAUGCGUAGAGAUCUGAAGGAAUACCAGU
rnacentral:rRNA from 1 species